rnacentral:rRNA from 1 species
UACGUAGGGGGCGAGCGUUGUCCGGAUUCAUUGGGCGUAAAGAGCUCGUAGGCGGUUUGGAAAGUCGGAUGAUGAAAUCUCCAGGCUCAACCUGGAGCGGCCAUUCGAUACUUCUAUGACUAGAGUCCAGUAGGGGAGUGUGGAAUUCCCGGUGUAGCGGUGAAAUGCGCAGAUAUCGGGAAGAACACCUGUGGCGAAGG